rnacentral:lncRNA from 1 species
UUUUAUUAUUAUAAUUUUUUUUUUAAUAGGUGUGACGUCAUUCCAUCCAGCUGUUUUUUAUGAACAACGGAAACGCACAGUAACAGUCCCAUCUAUUUUCUAAUCAAAACUUUGUAAAUGCUGCCAAAAACAUAAUGACUGGACAGGUUAAUGUAAACAGCCUUGAACACUGCUAAUGUAACUAUCAAGUACGGAACAGGAGGAAUGAAGCAAGAGAUCAAAGACUAGGCCUAAACUCAAAAAAGUGAUUCAUAAUGUAUAUGGGAUAGUUUCCUAGUAUAUCAUUGAAUAGGUCUAUAUCUGAAUAAUAAGUAUAUUAUCGUGAUUUAAAUCCAGUUGCAGAGCAAUACAAGGUAUAAAUAAGAGUUGAUUAAAUAAUAUUGACGAACAUUUGUUUGACCUAGAAGCAUUACGCAUGAUGAUCCAAUCAGUUAUUCGAGUACAAGGAUUUAUCCUCCAUAUUUGUAGACAUGUAGGGACAGUCAUUACUCAAGUUAACAUAAAUAAUGUAUUUUAAUAAAGACUUUUGUUGUACAUCAAAACAUUCUCAGGUAUUUAUAUUUUUUUUUAAGCAAUUCAAUUAUAAAAGCCUUUUUUUUUUUUAUCAAUUUGUCACAGGCAAUUUGGAUAAUUUUGCAUUUAUACAAUUCCCCUUGAAAUAUCUCAUGUUAUUGUCCCCGCAUCAGAAGGCAAAGGUUGUGUCUGAAAAUGACACCCUAUAUUCCCUAUAUAGUGCACUACUUUUGACCAGAGCCAUAAAAAACUUUUGUCGAAUGUAGUGCACUACAUAGGGAAUAGGGUGCCAUACAACGGAGUGACUCUACAAAACACAUCCUCUGCUCUAUUGUUACUGGUAGAGUAGAACUGGUACUGGUAGAGUAGAACUGGUACUGGUAGAGUAGAACUGGUACUGGUAGAGUAGAACUGGAAGAGUAGAACUGGUACUGGUAGAGUAGAACUGGAAGAGUAGAACUGGUACUGGUAGAGUAGAACUGGUACUGGUAGAGUAGAACUGGUAGAGUAGAACUGGUACUGGUAGAGUAGAACUGGUACUGUAGAACUGGAAGAGUAGAACUGGUACUGGUAGAGUAGAACUGGAAGAGUAGAACUGGUACUGGUAGAGUAGAACUGGAAGAGUAGAACUGGUACUGGUAGAGUAGAACUGGUACUGGUAGAGUAGAACUGGAAGAGUAGAACUGGUACUGGUAGAGUAGAACUGGUACUGGUAGAGUAGAACUGGUACUGGUAGAGUAGAACUGGUACUGUAAUGUUGGUCUCCUGCCCUCUAACUCAAAUGUGGACCACAAAGCCAGUUCCACUCUUCUCCUCUAAUCAGGGACUGAUUUAGACCUGGGACACCAGGUGGAUGAUUCCCCCUCUAAUCAGGGACUGAUUUAGACCUGGGACACCAGGUGGGUGAUCCCCCUCUAAUCAGGGACUGAUUUAGACCUGGGACACCAGGUGGGUGAUCCCCCUCUAAUCAGGGACUGAUUUAGACCUGGGACACCAGGUGGGUGAUUCCCCUCUAAUCAAGGACUGAUUUAGACCUGGGACACCAGGUGGGUGAUCCCCCUCUAAUCAGGGACUGAUUUAGACCUGGGACACCAGGUGGAUGAUUCCCCCUCUAAUCAGGGACUGAUUUAGACCUGGGACACCAGGUGGGUGAUCCCCCUCUAAUCAGGGCCUGAUUUAGACCUGGGACACCAGGUGGGUGAUCCCACUCUAAUCAGGGCCUGAUUUAGACCUGGGACACCAGGUGGGUGUAAUUCAUUAUCAGGUAGAACAGAAAACCAGCAGUAAUCCAGAACUUGUAGGGUAAGAUUUGAAUACCCAUGAUCCCUUGUUACUGGUAGAGCUCAGAGUCUGUCAGGGAGAGGCCCUGCUGUGAGGAUGACGUCAUCGCAGGCUGCAUAAUGUGCUCCACCAUAUUGUGUCCUCCGUGUUGCCCCAGCAUUAGAGAAGAGGAGUUUAACUGGAGAGAAGGGUAGUUAAUGUUACCAGCCCCAGAGUCACAGUGACUUCUGUUGUACAGAAAACUGUUAUUGUACUGAGAUUGAGAGACGGCAGCACUGUUCCUCUGUUGUGUCUGAGUCGGGCCUGUGGUUUUGUGCUGUGUGUGGUGGCUAAUCUGGCUAUGAUUCCCCAGCCCACUGUUCAGACUGUUCCCUUGGCCCAGACCCGGUCCAGUCUGUUGGUGUUGUGUCUGCUGGUUCAUCUGAGUCAGUAGGCAGGCCUGAAGCUUCCUCUUGGCUCUCCAGCGGGCCACUCUGAGCCGGGUCUUCUCCCGUCUCUCCUUCACCAGGUCAGCUAAUAGAGGCUGGGGAAGGUUUUUCUCCAUCUCUCUCUGACGGGUCUGGUUCCUCCUCCUCAACUCAGUUCGUCUCAUUUUAAACUCCUCGUACAGACUCAGGUCCUUGGGCCACGGACGAACCAUCGGCCUGGGAGCAACUCCUCCUGACGUGGACAUCACUGCCUGGGACAGCCCAUCUGA